UGACAAUGACUCGCUCCUACCGCCUACUCCAGUCCUCUCCACCCCAAGGUAGGCAGCUUCCCGCUCCUCGUCUUGGGACCUAAACCCAGGAAGUCAAAUGUCCUUUUCUAGCAGGUCGCCUGGUUAGAGGCCGUGGACGAAGCGGUCCAGGCACAGCCAGCUGCAGGGCGCGGCCUCGGCGGCGCUGCUCGUGGCCCUGGUCAGUGAGCGCACUCACUCCUGGACUAAGCUCUAUGCAACUCAUUUUCAUCUAGCAUUACCUCUCCAAAACCUGAAUCUCCACAAGAAAGCCACACAGCAAUUAACCAGUGUUGCAAGAACUGCUUCUGUAAUAAAGGUGGGAAGACAAAUUGAUGCAACCCUCUUGAAAAGCAAUCUGGCAAUAUGAACCAAGAGCCAUGAAAAGGCUUAUGCUAUUAUAA
rnacentral:lncRNA from 10 species